UAAUAGUAAAGUUACCAUCCGUCCCUAGCGCAAGUGGCAAAGAACUUGAUAAUUGGUAUCGGAGAUCUAAAUUCGAAUUCUAGUUGAUUCGCAUUUUCAGCUAAGUUUAUUUCUAAAUGAAAUAAACAAAGCAGAUAGCGUGAUACCUAUCUCUCAAAAAAUAAUAAUAAUAAUAAUAAUAAUAUAAUAAUAGUAAAAUUAUUCUUUGAUG
rnacentral:lncRNA from 1 species